AGAGAGGAACAACUUCAUUGAUUUUGGUGGUUGAGAAAUUCAGAUACAACUUCAAGAAGGAUAGGAUUCCAAGUUCCGUUUGAUUUUGGUGGUUGAGAAAUUUGGAGGAUGAAUGGAAUAUGGCUUUGCAUGGCAUAUUGUGAUAAUGGGAUUGUGGUUGAUGGUGGUUGCUCGUGGAAUGAAGUGUGUGGAAGAAGACUAUUUAAAAUAAUUUUUAUUUUUAUGUAUUGUUAGUUUAUUAAAUUCUAAGUUAAUUUUGAAGUUUAAGAUAUCAAAUAUGGUUGUAUUCUAUUUUAUAACUAAUAUUGGUUGUAAACUUGUUGGAGAAUUUAUUUGUUGUUGUAUGAUGUAUUUGUAUAAUUAGGUGAUAGCUAUAAACUUGUAUUGUAGUUGUAUAGUUUUAUGUUGUAUUAUUUCACAUGUUUGAUGCUUAA